rnacentral:tRNA from 1 species
CGCGGGCGAGCGUUGGGACUCGGCACCCGCUCAUAACGGGAGCUCGCCCGGAUCGUCACCGGGGCCCGCGACCA